CCUUGCAGAUGCAGAUGCGCUUCGACGGCCUGCUGGGCUUCCCCGGGGGCUUCGUGGACCGGCGCUUCUGGUCGCUGGAGGACGGGCUGAACCGGGUGCUGGGCCUGGGCCUGGGCUGUCUGCGCCUCACCGAGGCCGACUACCUGAGCUCGCACCUGACCGAGGGCCCGCACCGCGUCGUGGCUCACCUGUACGCGCGGCAGCUGACGCUGGAGCAGCUGCACGCCGUGGAGAUCAGCGCGGUGCACUCGCGCGACCACGGUCUGGAGGUGGGGCCGCCGCCCGGGCCCCGCCCCCCGCCCCGGGGUUUGGCUCUGGCCCCGCGGAAGGCACCGAUGGGUGCUGGGGCUCGUGCGGGUCCCACUGUACACCCAGAAGGACCGAGUCGGCGGCUUUCCCAACUUCCUGAGCAAUGCCUUCACCAGCACAGCCAAGCACCAGCUCCUCUUCGCCCUCAGGGUGCUCAACAUGAUGCCGGAGGAGAAGCUGGCUGAGGCCUUGGCGGCAGCCACAGAGAAACAAAAGAAGGCGCUGGAGAAGCUGCUCUCCCCUUCCUGAGCACGGUCUGCAGGCAGCUCCAGGGGCUGAUCUGGAAGCACUGGCCGGCGCGCAGAAUGACAGCCGCAGAGCCACCGCAGGACAGGAAAGUUGCCACUGUCGGCCUCCCUGCUCUGGAAAGACUCCUCAGUGAAGCGACCAGUUCCCCCGGCGCCUGCCUGGCCCGGGCGUCGAUUCUGCCUUCGAGCCUCUAUGCAGUGGCCAGCAUGUGCGGGCAGAGGCACUUGGUUCUGUGAAUAAAACGCCUGUACCGUGCUCCUCCCUUCUA